rnacentral:misc_RNA from 1 species
AAAGUCGUAACAAGGUCUCCGUAGGUGAACCUGCGGAGGGAUCAUUACAGAGCUCCAAUUGCCCUAACGGGUAGAUCUCCCACCCUAUGUUAUCAUUACCAUGUUGCUUUGGCGGGCCGUCAGGGCUUCACGGCUUCCGGCUACCGGCUCCGGCUGGUAAGCGCCCGCCAGAGGACCUCAAACCCUGAAUAUUCGUGUCGUCUGAGUAUCCAUAUAAUAGUUAAAA